UACGUAGGUGGCAAGCGUUGUCUGGAAUUAUUGGGCGUAAAGCGCGCGCAGGCGGCCUCUUAAGUCUGAUGUGAAAGCCCCCGGCUCAACCGGGGAGGGCCAUUGGAAACUGGGAGGCUUGAGUAUAGGAGAGAAGAGUGGAAUUCCACGUGUAGCGGUGAAAUGCGUAGAGAUGUGGAGGAACACCAGUGGCGAAGGCGACUCUUUGGCCUAUAACUGACGCUGAGGCGCGAAAGCGUGGGGAGCAAACAGG
rnacentral:rRNA from 1 species